rnacentral:misc_RNA from 1 species
GUUUGGUUAGUGGAGCACCAGCCUUCUACCCAUACUAUCAGGUCGGACAGGGUGCUGGGGCCUAUGGAAGGGGAAAUGGCUAUGCAAUGCAGCACCCUCACAUGUUCCAGUACUCUACCAUGACAGGGUUUAGCCCACACUAUGCAGGCAUGAACUUGGCAGUCACAACUCCAGCUCUUUCUACACCAGCAGCUAUCUAAUCACUUCAUCCACUCUUCUCAACUGGAGCAAACUUUGGCUUAACCAUGGUUAUGUUUUUUCUUCCCUCUCCAUUCCUUGUUCAUCUCAUUCCAUGUGUCUUCAUCUGUCACCAUGUUUAACUAGCCCCUGUGGGGCUGA